GUGCUCGCUUAGGCAGCACAUAUGCUAAAAAAAUUGGAAUGAUACAAAGAUUAGCACGGCCCCUGCGCAAGGAUCAUGCGCGAAUUCAUGAAGCGUUCCAUAUUUAA